rnacentral:rRNA from 1 species
ACUCCUACGGGAGGCAGCAGUGGGGAAUAUUGCACAAUGGGGAAACCCUGAUGCAGCCAUGCCGCGUGUGUGAAGAAGGCCUUCGGUUGUAAAGCACUUUCAGUAGGGAGGAAGGUAGUGUAGUUAACACCUGCACUAUUUGACGUUACCUACAGAAGAAGCACCGGCUAACUCCGUGCCAGCAGCCGCGGUAAUACGGAGGGGUGCGAGCGUUAAUCGGAAUUACUGGGCGUAAAGCGCAUGCAGGCGGCCUGUUAAGUCAGAUGUGAAAGCCCGGGGGCUUAACCUCGGAAUUGCAUUUGAAACUGGCAGGCUAGAGUCUUGUAGAGGGGGUAGAAGUUUCAGGUGUAGCGGUGAAAUGCGUAGAGAUCUGAAGGAAUACCAGUGGCGAAGGCGGCCCCCUGGACAAAGACUGACGCUCAGAUGCGAAAGCGUGGGGAGCGAAACAGG